GCUGAGAUAAAACUACUCACUCAUAGUUAAUUUGUUUUAAAGAAUAUUACCUGUUUCUGGCCUUAUUAUAAAAUAUAUGUUUUAUUUCAUGAGCUGCAUGCUAAACUUAAUAUUUUGUAGAAAUUAUUUAAAAAAUUAAAGGGAACCAAAAACAGAUAUUUAAGUAGUGGUAUUACAUAAUUUAAAUACUUUAGAAAACUAAAGUUUGAAAAUUGCUCUACUUGCAAGAUUUUCUUUGAAACAUAUAUUUAUCAGUUAUAUUCUAUAAAUUGAUCCUAGAAUUGUCUUUUUCUUCAUUCUCCUCUGUACCUUAAAUACUCUGCAUAUUUCAAAGAUAUUGGAAUGUGGACAGAGCUUAAUCAUAAUUGUGCCUAACUCCAUAAUAUAUCAAAUAAAGAAUCCUACAGAAAGUGACCGACUUGUUCAUAGUUAUCCAUUGUUUAUUCCAAAAUGUAUUGUUUAAAAUGAAAACACUAAAUUGUAUCUAAUCUCUUCAUUAUACAAAGAAGUCAUUGGAACUUAAGUUGUAAAAAACUAAGACACUGAUAUUUAUAUUAAGCAUAUGAACAAUGAUAUAUUAUUCCUAGGGUUAAAGUGUACACUGAAAAACUGAUGCACAAAGAUGCACACUGUAUACAUGUGUAUACAUACAUGUAUAUAGUGAAAAUGUAUAAUUAAAAAAAUCUGACACCUAUGACUAAUCAGUCUUUAGUGAUUUUUAGAAAUGUAAGAAAUGUAUGUACAAUAACAUACAUAUUGUUAGAUUCUGAUUAAAGGCAUAAAGGUACCAUGAAAUGGAAAACAAUGCACCUUUAUAAUAAACCAAAGGAGGUACAUCUAUAUUCUUAUGCUGUGCUGAAUAAAAUAAAAGACAAAGCUAUUAAAUCCAUAUUGUAAUGAUAUUUUUAUUUUCUUCUUUGUAGGAAAUUACUAUAUUCACCCUGCUGACUUUUCAGAAAUUCUGUCUAUAAUAAUAAUAAUGAUGAUUCUACAGUUUUAUAGAUUAUUUGUCUUCCAGUAUGCUCUGUGUUUAUGUGUGCAUUGCCUCAUUUAUUCUAACAACAUUCCUGUAAAGAAAGUGAGGUCAGGCAUUAUCUUCCUCAUUUGCCGGUGAUGUAAAGGGAGCAAAGUGAAGCUAAAAGACUCGCAGGGUAAGUUGCAAAAGUGAGUUUAGAAUCUAGGUACAAAUUAUCAGUAUUUAUACUUUUUUUUUUCUUUUUGAGACAGAGUCUCGCUCUGUCGUCCAGGCUGGAGUGCAGUGGCAUUAUUUUGGCUCACUGCAAGCUCCGCCUCCCGGGUUCACGCCAUUCUCCUGCCUCAGCCUCCCAAGUAGCUGGGACUACAGGCACCUGCCACCACGCUCAGCUAAUUUUUGUAUUUUUAGUAGAGACGGGGUUUCACCGUGUUGGCCAGGAUGGUCUCGAUCUCUUGACCUCGUGAUCCACCAGGCGUGCGCCACCGCGCCAGGCCUAUUUAUACUUUUUAAAUAACUCGUCACACUUUUAUCAUAUUCUCUCCCAGUAGCGUUGCCAAAUCCA
rnacentral:lncRNA from 10 species